UGCGACUCUGGCCUACAAUUCAGAGAAUUCUUCCACCAUCUGCCUGAUCCUCGUCUCUCGAAUGUCUCUGAAAAACGUCUGCAAAUGAGAUUUGAGCUUUUGAACCUCCUAUAAUGGCAACUGGACGUGGACAGACGAGGAUAAAAACAAGGACAAAGGGGAGGCAAAGAGCAUGGCAAAAAAGAGAGAAGGCAGAAGAUGGAGAGGAUCAGGGGAGAGAAGGAGAGACAAUUGUGUUAAUCCAGCGAUGGAAGAGAAAACUAAAAAUAUCAGAGGAGACUGGAAGGAGACCUGUCCCCAGGGGGCACUGUUUGUCCUUGCAGCAGAACUAAAACACAGUGAGGAUAACAGGAAAACAUCAGUGAUAAGCAGUGAUUUUGCUCUAACAGUGAGUUUGUUUCCUGUUGUCAGACCGUCAACACUCUGGGUGAAAUGUCACGAUCUAACUUUCAUUUCAUCUGACGUUGGCAUCGAUGACAUCACAGGAAAGUCAAAUCACAUCUUUACGUCAAAACACGAGUGUUGAGAAACACUAUUGUUAUGCCGGACGAUGAGAACUUUUCUUCGGGAGACAUGUCCAAUACUGAAUGAACAAACAUGUUUUCUUAUUUUUACUGCUCUUUUUGGGUUUUACAAACCUUUCUGGCUCUAAUCCAAUUUCAUAUCUGCAAAGGAAAGGAGCCAUGUGUGUAAAAAAGUUUUACAGUAGUUUAUUUUACCAAUGGAUAAAACAUAACAACAGAACUCUUUUCACUUCAAGACUAUUCCGGUUUAGUCAAACUGGUUUAAAGCCACUUAUUUUUGUUAACUAGUGCAACAUUAACAACAACAACAAAAACCUUCAUUCCAGACUAAAUACUAAGGGAGCUUAAGCAUUAGGUAUUGUCAUUUUCAGUGCACAGGUUUGAACAAAAACAAAAGUAGGGUGAAUAAAACUUCUAUUCCAGCAUAACGGCACACAUUGAACUGAUUUUUGUUCCUUCCCAGGUUCAGUUAAGCCCUUAAACCAACACUGCAAACCUUAUUGACCCACUCGUCUUCACUUUCACUUAUGGGUGUAUGCUUUUCUUUUUCAAUGACAUUCCAGCUCACCAGUAAUAAAUCCAAAGCCUGCAUCCUAAAUGAUGAUGCACCCACUACCGUGCUUCAUACGUUGUCACUCUCUGUUCUGCUUCCACUUUCCUGAAGGGAAUGUUUUUGAAAGCAGCAGAACUUAUGACACACUGUUUUUAACAAGGCCUCUUCUACACUCUUUGAAAGACAUUUUUCAAAAACAAAGUCCGAGAAACACUUUGUGGAGUUAAUUUUGUUUAUACUCUUUUGUUGUUGAUUCGGGAAAAUUAACACCAAGAAAGUUUUUCUGAGUGAGCAGAGUUUCCAACAACUGCUACCUUAUGGAGCUCUAGCCCUGCACACAAUGAUUUUCUGGUUUAAAUCGAUAAUUACAUUUGAUUAGGAUUGUUGUUUACAAAAUUAGCUUAUACAUUUUUUGUUCCUCUCUCUCUCUUCUCGAGCCGUUGAGUGUCUACAUGUGUGUUCGGGUAUAUCUAGAUGGGUGUGUACAUGCAUGUACCAUAAUUGUAUUCAUUUAUAACUUCAGGCUUCAUACAUGGUUUAAAUAAAUAAAAGCAAAAAGAAAAGU